rnacentral:rRNA from 1 species
ACGAACGCUGGCGGCGUGCCUAAUACAUGCAAGUCGAACGAAACUUUCUUACACCGAAUGCUUGCAUUCACCGUAAGAAGUUGAGUGGCGGACGGGUGAGUAACACGUGGGUAACCUGCCUAAAAGAAGGGGAUAACACUUGGAAACAGGUGCUAAUACCGUAUAUCUCUAAGGAUCGCAUGAUCCUUAGAUGAAAGAUGGUUCUGCUAUCGCUUUUAGAUGGACCCGCGGCGUAUUAACUAGUUGGUGGGGUAACGGCCUACCAAGGUGAUGAUACGUAGCCGAACUGAGAGGUUGAUCGGCCACAUUGGGACUGAGACACGGCCCAAACUCCUACGGGAGGCAGCAGUAGGGAAUCUUCCACAAUGGACGCAAGUCUGAUGGAGCAACGCCGCGUGAGUGAAGAAGGUCUUCGGAUCGUAAAACUCUGUUGUUAGAGAAGAACACGAGUGAGAGUAACUGUUCAUUCGAUGACGGUAUCUAACCAGCAAGUCACGGCUAACUACGUGCCAGCAGCCGCGGUAAUACGUAGGUGGCAAGCGUUGUCCGGAUUUAUUGGGCGUAAAGGGAACGCAGGCGGUCUUUUAAGUCUGAUGUGAAAGCCUUCGGCUUAACCGGAGUAGUGCAUUGGAAACUGGAAGACUUGAGUGCAGAAGAGGAGAGUGGAACUCCAUGUGUAGCGGUGAAAUGCGUAGAUAUAUGGAAGAACACCAGUGGCGAAAGCCGCUCUCUGGUCUGUAACUGACGCUGAGGUUCGAAAGCGUGGGUAGCAAACAGGAUUAGAUACCCUGGUAGUCCACGCCGUAAACGAUGAAUGCUAGGUGUUGGAGGGUUUCCGCCCUUCAGUGCCGCAGCUAACGCAAUAAGCAUUCCGCCUGGGGAGUACGACCGCAAGGUUGAAACUCAAAGGAAUUGACGGGGGCCCGCACAAGCGGUGGAGCAUGUGGUUUAAGUCGAAGCAACGCGAAGAACCUUACCAGGUCUUGACAUCCUUCUGACCGCACCUUAAUCGGUGCUUUCCUUCGGGACAGAAGAGACAGGUGGUGCAUGGUUGUCGUCAGCUCGUGUCGUGAGAUGUUGGGUUAAGUCCCGCAACGAGCGCAACCCUUGCUAUUAGUUGCUACGCAAGAGCACUCUAAUAGGACUGCCGUUGACAAAACGGAGGAAGGUGGGGACGACGUCAAGUCAUCAUGCCCCUUAUGACCUGGGCUACACACGUGCUACAAUGGACGGUACAACGAGUCGCGAGACCGCGAGGUUUAGCUAAUCUCUUAAAGCCGUUCUCAGUUCGGAUUGUAGGCUGCAACUCGCCUACAUGAAGUCGGAAUCGCUAGUAAUCGCGAAUCAGCAUGUCGCGGUGAAUACGUUCCCGGGCCUUGUACACACCGCCCGUCACACCAUGAGAGUUUGUAACACCCAAAGCCGGUGGGGUAACCGCAAGGAGCCAGCCGUCUAAGGUGGGACAGAUGAUUGGGGUG